CCCUUAGACGUUCUGGGCCGCACGCGCGCUACACUGGCCGGUGCAACAAGCAUCCGUCCUUGGCCGACAGGCCCGGGCAAUCUUUGAACGCCGGUCGUGAUGGGGAUAGACUUUUGCAAUUUUUGGUCUUCAACGAGGAAUUCCUAGUAAACGCAAGUCAUCAACUUGCAUUGAUUACGUCCCUGCCCUUUGUACACACCGCCCGUCGCACCUACCGAUUGAAUGGUCCGGUGAAGCCUCCGGAUUGGCGCGCACCUCGGUGCCGCCGAGAAGUUGGCUAAACCUUACCAUUAGAGGAAGGUGAAGUCGUAACA
rnacentral:rRNA from 1 species